GACGAACGCUGGCGGCGUGCCUAAUACAUGCAAGUAGAACGCACAGUUUAUACCGUAGCUUGCUACACCAUAGACUGUGAGUUGCGAACGGGUGAGUAACGCGUAGGUAACCUGCCUGGUAGCGGGGGAUAACUAUUGGAAACGAUAGCUAAUACCGCAUAAUAUUAAUUAUUGCAUGAUAAUUAAUUGAAAGGUGCAAUUGCACCACUACCAGAUGGACCUGCGUUGUAUCAGCUAGUAGGUGAGGUAACGGCUCACCUAGGCGACGAUACAUAGCCGACCUGAGAGGGUGAUCGGCCACACUGGGACUGAGACACGGCCCAGACUCCUACGGGAGGCAGCAGUAGGGAAUCUUCGGCAAUGGACGAAAGUCUGACCGAGCAACGCCGCGGGAGUGAAGAAGGUUUUCGGAUCGUAAAGCUCUGUUGUAAGAGAAGAACGGGUGUGAGAGUGGAAAGUUCACACUGUGACGGUAUCUUACCAGAAAGGGACGGCUAACUACGUG
rnacentral:rRNA from 1 species